AUUGAACGCUGGCGGCAGGCCUAACACAUGCAAGUCGAGCGGAGCGGCGGACGGGUGAGUAAUGCCUAGGAAUCUGCCUGGUAGUGGGGGAUAACGUCCGGACACGGGCGCUAAUACCGCAUACUAUCAGAUGAGCCUAGGUCGGAUUAGCUAGUUGGUGGGGUAACGGCCUACCCAGGCGACGAUCCCUAGAUGGUCUGAGAGGAUGACCAGCAACACUGGAACGGAGACACGGUCCAGACGCCUACGUGAGGCAGCAGUGGGGAAUAUUGCACAAUGGGCGCAAGCCUGAUGCAGCCAUGCCGCGUGUAUGAAGAAGGCCUUCGGGUUGUAAAGUACUUUCAGCGGGUAGGCGUUACCCGCAGAAGAAGCACCGGCUAACUCCGUGCCAGCCGCCGCGGUAAUUC
rnacentral:rRNA from 1 species